ACCCUUUAAUGUUUGAUGUUCUAACGUAGACCCGUGAUCCGGGUUGCGGACAGUGUCUGGUGGGUAGUUUGACUGGGGCGGUCUCCUCCCAAAGAGUAACGGAGGAGCACGAAGGUUAGCUAAUCCUGGUCGGACAUCAGGAGGUUAGUGCAAUGGCAUAAGCUAGCUUGACUGCGAGCGUGACGGCGCGAGCAGGUGCGAAAGCAGGUCAUAGUGAUCCGGUGGUUCUGAAUGGAAGGGCCAUCGCUCAACGGAUAAAAGGUACUCCGGGGAUAACAGGCUGAUACCGCCCAAGAGUUCAUAUCGACGGCGGUGUUUGGCACCUCGAUGUCGGCUCAUCACAUCCUGGGGCUGAAGUAGGUCCCAAGGGUAUGGCUGUUCGCCAUUUAAAGUGGUACGCGAGCUGGGUUUAGAACGUCGUGAGACAGUUCGGUCCCUAUCUGCCGUGGGCGCUGGAGAAUUGAGGGGGGCUGCUCCUAGUACGAGAGGACCGGAGUGGACGCAUCACUGGUGUUCGGGUUGUCAUGCCAAUGGCAUUGCCCGGUAGCUAAAUGCGGAAAAGAUAAGUGCUGAAAGCAUCUAAGCACGAAACUUGCCCCGAGAUGAGUUCUCCCUGACCCUUUAAGGGUCCUGAAGGAACGUUGAAGACGACGACGUUGAUAGGUCGGGUGUGUAAGCGUAGCGAUACGUUGAGCUAACCGAUACUAAUGAACCGUGAGGCUUAACCUU
rnacentral:rRNA from 1 species